rnacentral:rRNA from 1 species
AUAUCAAUAAGCGGAGGAAAAGAAACUAACAAGGAUUCCCCUAGUAACUGCGAGUGAAGCGGGAAAAGCUCAAAUUUAAAAUCUGGUAGUCUUUGGCUGCCCGAGUUGUAAUCUAGAGAAGCGCUAUCCGUGCUGGACCGUGUAUAAGUCUCCUGGAAUGGAGCGUCAUAGAGGGUGAGAAUCCCGUCUUUGACACGGACUCCCAGUGCAUUGUGAUGCGCUCUCGAAGAGUCGAGUUGUUUGGGAAUGCAGCUCUAAAUGGGUGGUAAAUUCCAUCUAAAGCUAAAUAUUGGCGAGAGACCGAUAGCGAACAAGUACCGUGAGGGAAAGAUGAAAAGAACUUUGGAAAGAGAGUUAAACAGUACGUGAAAUUGUUGAAAGGGAAACGCUUGAAGUCAGUCGCGUUGGCUUGGAAUCAGCCUUGCUUUUGCUUGGUGUACUUCCUUGUUAACGGGUCAGCAUCAAUUUUGACCGGUGGAAAAAGGCCAGUUGAAUGUGGCAUCUUCGGAUGUGUUAUAGCUUCUGGUCGUAUACAUCGGUUGGGAUUGAGGAACUCAGCACGCCGCAAGGUCGGGGUUCGCCCACGUUCGUGCUUAGGAUGCUGGCAUAAU